rnacentral:SRP_RNA from 1 species
GGCCGGGCCCUCGCGCAAACGAGGUCUGUGAACCCGCCAGGUCCGGAAGGAAGCAACGGUAGCGGAAUUUUUGUUGUGCAGCGAGUCAGCCUGGCCAAC